GCUCCGGUGGCCUAGUGGUUAGAGCGUCCGCCUUGUAUACGGCAGGUUGUGAGUUCGAACCCUGGCCGAGUCA